GACGAACGCUGGCGGCGUGCCUAAUACAUGCAAGUCGAACGCACUCUCGUUUAGAUUGAAGGAGCUUGCUCCUGAUUGAUAAACAUUUGAGUGAGUGGCGGACGGGUGAGUAACACGUGGGUAACCUGCCCUAAAGUGGGGGAUAACAUUUGGAAACAGAUGCUAAUACCGCAUAAAACCCAACACCGCAUGGUGUAGGGUUGAAAGAUGGUUUCGGCUAUCACUUUAGGAUGGACCCGCGGUGCAUUAGUUAGUUGGUGAGGUAAAGGCUCACCAAGACCGUGAUGCAUAGCCGACCUGAGAGGGUAAUCGGCCACACUGGGACUGAGACACGGCCCAGACUCCUACGGGAGGCAGCAGUAGGGAAUCUUCCACAAUGGACGAAAGUCUGAUGGAGCAACGCCGCGUGAGUGAAGAAGGUUUUCGGAUCGUAAAACUCUGUUGUUGGAGAAGAAUGUAUCUGAUAGUAACUGAUCAGGUAGUGACGGUAUCAACCAGAAAGCCACGG
rnacentral:rRNA from 1 species